rnacentral:rRNA from 1 species
UACAUGGGGUGCAAACGUUGCUCGGAAUCAUUGGGCGUAAAGCGCGCGUAGGCGGUUGCUUAAGUCGGAUGUGAAAGCCCUCGGCUUAACUGAGGAAGUGCAUCCGAAACUGAGCAGCUAGAGUACGAAAGAGGGUCGCGGAAUUCCCGGUGUAGAGGUGAAAUUCGUAGAUAUCGGGAGGAACACCGGUGGCGAAGGCGGCGACCUGGGUCGAGACUGACGCUGAGGUGCGAAAGCGUGGGGAGCAAACAGG